rnacentral:sRNA from 1 species
UCGAACAAGCCCACAUGCCUUGGACUUGCCUGAGGAACAUAUGAGAGCGGAAGGCCGGUCGGGGUAUC